AGCGUUUAAGUCUCCACUUCAAACCCCCCCGCCCCGCCCGCCCCUCCUCUCUCUCUGGUUAAGGUUAUCGGCCAGCAGAUUUCAAGAAAUGUCAUUUCAGAAAAAUGUCAGAUUUCGCUUAUUUGAAUAUCGGUUGCUUGAGAAUUAUUAGCUUUCUAACCAGACCCACAUGGACCCCAAGGGCAUAAGACAUUGUAGCCCCAUUAUAUGGAUUAGGCAAGUAAAGUUGAUUGGUUGGGGUCUUGGUGAAAAGCUUUCUAUACUUCGUAGAUGGGUGCAAUUGGCAGUUUCAAUCCAGCUGAUGAGUUGGGACUCCAGUAACUACCACUUUGAAGACUUGGGGAACUUGUAUCCCGGUAUCCAAAGGGCAUCAAAGGUAUGAUGAGCUUUACGAAGACUGGAGAUGAAGCUGUAAACCCCGUGUGUGAUGCAUGGGAAACACAAGCUUAUUGCAGGCUUGUAAAUUGUUUGCGUGGGCAUAAGCUGCCAUGUCACGAGGAAGCACGCAGUCUCCGCAUUCCUCACUCAGCCUCCCAACCUCUUGGCAGCUGUUAAUAUAAAACCGAGCACACCAGUCUUCUAGACGCUCUGGUUUCCAUCAUCAUCAAGGUUUGAGGAAUCUUUACUGAAAAUAUAUUUUUAUUUUAAAAGCAACUUGAUGGGUUUUGGCCCCCUCUCCAUGUUCUUUAUUAUCCAUUCACUAAAAUAAAAAAAAUUGAAAAAAGAAAGACCAGGAGUUUGGAUUUGGAGCCAACCAGCUGAUGGCUGGUUUGUUGGUUCAUCAAACCCAGAAAAGGAUAUCAGCUUAGAUUCCAUCAUUUCCAUUAUUUGAUUGUUUGUUUUUAUUAAAUUCCUUGAGCGGAUAAUAUUCUUGGUAA